AUUCAAGUAUUUUAAUCAUCCCAACCACUUCAUAACAAAUAGACAAUUUCAGUGACGAUGUACAUGCUGCUGAAUACAGUAGCAACAUAAAAGGACCAAGUGGUGGGGGUAGAGACAAAGUAUUUUCCAAUUACUGCUUUUGCAGAAGCAUACAGGCUAAAAGUUUAAUGAUUGUUAGUAUUUUUUCCUUCUGUAUUGCCAAAUCCUCUCGAUUAUUUUAAAUUUAUGAGCCACUACAUUGCUGGCUUUCUUCUAACAUGUGACCAAGCGUUGGAACUGAAGAAGUGAAAGGCAGCAGCGUUUGACUCAUUUCAGUCACAGCGUACUUGUUAGUGUUUCAGUGGGUUGUCCUCUCACUGCCAAACCAUCUUUCUUCCAUUCUGCAGCACUGAAUUUCUGGAAAAUGACAAGUGUUUCUCACAAUGACUGAUCUUAAAACUUUUCUGGACAAAUUUGCUGAUCGUAAGACUGCUUGUAUCUAUUAGUACAGUGCAAGGAGAACCACCUGUGGUAAUAGCAGGUGCUCUUGUGUAUCAAAUUCUGUUUAUACGGAGUUUCCAUAGGGCAUAUUGGAAAAGAAAAAAAUUAAGAGCUUUAUGCAAGUCAGCAGAACAACCUGGUAAGUGCUCUGUCUAACUGGGAGAAUGUCAGAAGCACGGAGUGUUUCUGGGUUUUUCUUCUCUGGCAUCCUAAAGGCCUGUUUUGAUUUUUAGUCUUUCAGGCAAAUGCAAAAUAAAGUAUGGCAACAUUGAAAAAGACGUAGGUAUUCUGGAUCGUGCAGGAAGCUUGAACUCAAUUCACUGACAAAUAAUUUCCUUAGCUUAUGAGAAGUGCUAAAAUCAAUCACAAGAAUCCUCGCAUGACAGGGGUGAUAGAAAAGUCUAGUAUGGGAACAAGAAGUCAAUUAUACCGAG